rnacentral:sRNA from 1 species
AAAAGAAGGUAGCCUAAAAUCAUAGGCUACCUUCUUUUUAAUUACGGAUUUGACCGUCUCCAAAAAUAAUAUAUUUAGUCGAUG